rnacentral:rRNA from 1 species
AAUCAACGCUGGCGGCGCGCUUAACACAUGCAAGUCGAGCGAGAAAGGGGAGCAAUCCCUGAGUAAAGCGGCGCACGGGUGAGUAACACGUGGGGAAUCUACCUCUGGGUGGGGAAUAACUCUGGGAAACCGGAGCUAAUACCGCAUAAGCCUGGGAAGGGAAAGUCGAAAGACGCCGGGAGAGGACCCCGCGGCCGAUUAGCUAGUUGGUGAGGUAACGGCUCACCAAGGCAAAGAUCGGUAGCCGGCCUGAGAGGGCACACGGCCACACUGGCACUGAAACACGGGCCAGACUCCUACGGGAGGCAGCAGUGGGGAAUCUUGCACAAUGGGGGCAACCCUGAUGCAGCGACGCCGCGUGAGCGAUG